rnacentral:tRNA from 1 species
CCUCCAUUAGCUCAGUGGUAGAGCAGCUUUUUUAUAAAGGGCAGGUCGCUGGUUCAAUGCCAGCAUGGAGGA